rnacentral:misc_RNA from 1 species
AUCGACGAUCACGACUAUGACACCAAGAUGAAGAAGGUGGUCGAGUUCAUCGGUGAGGGCGACAAGGUGAAGGUCACCAUGCGCUUCCGCGGCCGCGAGCUUUCGCACGGCCAGCUUGGCAUGAACGUGCUUCAGCGCGUCGCCGAGCAGGUGAACGAGGUCGCCAAGGUGGAGGCCUAUCCGCGUAUGGAAGGCCGCCAGAUGCUGAUGGUGCUGGCACCCAAGUAAGCCACGGCGAAUCCGUCGAACGGGGCGCGCGCAGCAAUGCGGGCGCCUUUUUCGUAUGCGGCACCAUCGACGCCGCUGCGGAUAUGGCCGA